AAAACAUCGCCUCCUGCAACACAACCAAGUAUAGGAGGUCCAGCCUGCCCAGUGACCACAAGUUCAACGGCCGCGGUAUUUUGACCGUGCAAAGGUAGCGCAAUCACUUGUCUUUUAAAUAGAGACCUGUAUGAAUGGCUAAACGAGGGCUUAACUGUCUCCCCUUUCAAGUCAGUGAAAUUGAUCUACCCGUGCAGAAGCGGGUAUAAUGAUACAAGACGAGAAGACCCUUUGGAGCUUAAGGUACAAAACUCAACCACGUCAAGCAACUUAAUAAAAAGCAAAAACCUUGUGGGAUAUGAUAUUUUACCUUCGGUUGGGGCGACCACGGAGGAAAGAAAAGCCUCCAAGUGGACUGGGAAAACUUCCUAAAGCCAAGAGAGACAUCUCUAAGCCACAGAACAUCUGACCAAACAUGAUCCGGCAACAAAGCCGAUCAACGAACCAAGUUACCCUAGGGAUAACAGCGCAAUCCUCUCCCAGAGUCCAUAUCGACGAGGGGGUUUACGACCUCGAUGUUGGAUCAGGACAUCCUAAUGGUGCAGCCGCUAUUAAGGGUUCGUUUGUUCAACGAUUAAAGUCCUACGUGA
rnacentral:rRNA from 1 species